rnacentral:rRNA from 2 species
UGACCUCGGAUCAGGUAGGGAUACCCGCUGAACUUAAGCAUAUCAAUAAGGCGGAGGA